GAGUCUUUCUCCAAGACGCUUGACCGCUCUUCCUUCCCUGGAUGGCAGCAGCAGGGCCGACUGGAGUGGUAAACUCUGGGCCGGAAGGCAUGCCAAAGAGGGCUGGGACAGGCCUGGACUGCAAGGAGGGGUCUUUGCACCAUCUCUGAAAAGCCUAUGUGUAUCCUCAGCUUUGAGAACUGAAUUCCAUGGGUUGUGUCAGUGUCAGACCUGUGAAAUUCAGUUCUUCAGCUGGGAUAUCUCUGUCAUCGUGGGCUUGAGGACACUGGAGAGAGUAGAUCUUGGAGAACUUCAGUCUGCUGAGGAGCUUGGAAGACUGGAGACAGAAGGCAGAGUCUCAGGCUCUGAAGGAAUAAGGAGUGUGGGUUCCUGUGAGAAAUGCUCAUUUGAUUGUGAAAAGACUUGAAUUCUAUGCUAAGCAGGGUUCCAAGUAGCUAAAUGAAUGAUCUCAGCAAGUCUCUUUUGCUGCUGCUGCUGCUGCCGCUACUCGUUUACAUUUAUUGAUUACUUAACGAUGAUUCAGGUACUGUCGUAAGUGCUUUACAUGCUGUUAUAGGAGACUCUUGGGAGAAAUCUCUUUAAUGAAGCUUGAGACAUAGGCAUUGCCAUGCAAUGAUUUUUCCCCCCUCUUCACGGAAUCAGAGGGAACAACAGAAUGUGACAAUGAUUCUUUAGCAUGGACUGCUGAGGCUUCUGGUUCCUUUUUAAGAUCUGUGGUGAAAGAAGAUGAGAAACAUGGGUAUGCCCUUCUUUUGGUCCCCCUCUUCCUUUAUUUGAAUCUUUACUUCCUUCUAUAAAUAUAUUAGGGCUACAUUGUCCUCUUGUAUUUCAAACAAGGCAAAAAGAGGUUGUAAUUAGACUUUACUGCAAUCCUCAGUUUCUCCAUGGAACAGGAAUGCAAAGGUUUUGAAGGCCUCUCUAUUUGCUGACAUGGUCAGCUGGGUGCUGUGGGCCAAGUCCUUCUGUUGCCCUCCACUGUCACCAAGUAAGCUAGGUCCAUUCUGAGGCUCAGGUUUGCUGUGAUGAUGACCACUUUUAGGCAGAAAGUUAGAGGCCUCACGAGUGCGAUAUAGACUUUAUCAGGCUUUAGAUUUGAUGGGGAAUAAGGAAUGUGAUUUGUCUUUUGGGAACUGAUUUUUGAUUCAUCAUUGUCUCUUGGUGUCCUGGAAUUUCCGUGUCAUUACAAUCUACUGAAUGAAAGAGUAACCUGUGCCAGAGGAGAGGCGGGUGAAAGACUCCACAGCAUGCUCAUUCUCAAUCUGUCUUCUCAGUGACACCAAGGUUUACUGAGUACCCACUAUGUGCUGAGCACUGUGCUCAGGGCUUUGUAUGCAUGAUCUCAGUGAAUCUCACCAAGCCUCAUCUGGAAAAUGGGGACAAAUUAACAACAGGAUGGCAAAUUAAAAAACACGUAACCAUGUUCUACAGAUGCAAAGGGGUGCUUGGUUAUUAUGAAGGCCCCCUGGCAAGCGUGUGGGACAUGGGUGUGUUCUCUGGGUUGUACUGAUCAGAUCAAGGACCUCCCCCACCCUUCUCACACUCUGCCCACUUCCGCCCUUUGCUUGUCAGACCCUUAGCCAGUGACUCAUUCUAGAACCAGAAUCUUGGUGAAAUCUCAACUGAGACCGGAGAUCGGUGUCUUCAGUCCUAGACUGAUGGAGAAAAUCCAGAAUGUAUACUAGAAGCUCCAAGUGCUCUGUGUUUCACCUCGUCCGUGCUGUAGACACUGACUUUGGUUCAGAACUCUGAUUUAGUACAAAAGGCUCAUUUUAAUUUCAGGGGCACUAUUCCUGAAGCAAACCUAAUAAAUGAAAUAUGGAAUUCA
ensembl:lncRNA